rnacentral:rRNA from 1 species
UAUAUUUUACGUUUGAUCUUAGCGUAGAACGAUCGUUAGAUAUAGGCUUUAAUACAUGCGAGUUGAACGUGAAUUUUUUAAUUAAAAUGAAAGUAGCGUACUGGUGAGUAACACGUGAGAAUCUACCUUUCAAAUCAACAUAAAAUGUUGAAUAAAAGCUUCUAAAGCUAUAAAGAUAUGUUUUCGUUGAAAGAUGAGCUUGCGCAAGAUUAGGUAGUUGGUAAGGUAACGGCUUACCAAGCCAAAGAUCUUUAGCUGGUUUGAGAAAAUGAUCAGCCACAUUGGAACUGAAACACAGUCCAAACGUAAUAUAACGGCAGCAGUAGGGAAUUUUGAACACUGAGCGAAAGCUUGAUUCAGCCAAGUAUCGUGGAUGAAGAAGGCUGUCUUUUGGUCGUAAAAUCCAUUUAUAUAGUCACAUGAAAUGUGUCUUUUAUUUCGAUAAAAGGAAAGAUUAUGACUUUCUAUUGAAAAGUCCCGGCUAAUCUCGUGCCAGCAGCCGCGGUAAUACGAGAGGGGCAAACGAUGUUUAGCAUGAUUGGGCGUAAAGAGCUUGUAGAUGGUUUCUUUUAAUUUUAUAUAAAAGCUCUAAGCUUAACUUUGAUUAUAUAUAAAGGAAAGAUAACUUGAGUUAUGGAAAGGAAAGUAGAAUUCUUGGAGGAGAGGUAGAAUUUGGUGAUAUCAAGAGGAAUUCCAAAAGCGAAGGCAGCUUUCUUGCCAUAUACUGACAUUGAAGGGCGAAAGCGUGGGUAGCGACAGGGAUUAGAUACCCCAUUAGUCCACGCCGUCAACGAUGACCUUUAUUUAUUGGUUUCUCUUAAAAUAAAUAAAUUAUUUUUUAGUUUGAUCAGUGAAACAGUUAACGCGUUAAAAGGUCCGCCUGAGGAGUACGAUCGCAAGAUUAAAACUCAAAAGAAUAGACGGGAGCGUUCACAAGUGGUGGAGCAUGAAGUUUAAUGCGAUACAACACGCAAAACCUUACCAUUUUUUGAUAUUUUACUUAUCAGUUAUUUCUCAUGAAAUAAUGUUUUUUACUAAAGUAAAAAUUUGUUUGUAUAACAGGCGUUGCAUGGCUGUCGUAAGUUCGUACUGUGAAGUGUUGGAUUAAUUUCCUUAACGAACGUAACCCCUUGGUUUUGUUAAAACUAAAAUCUACCGCUAGUCAUAAACUAGAGGAAGGGAGGGAUCACGUCAAGUCCUCAUGACCCUUAUAAAAUGGGCUACGCUUUUCGUGCUACAAUGAUAAAUACAAUAAGAAGCAAUAACGAAAGUUGGAGCAAAUCUAUAAAAUUUAUCUCAGUUCAGAUUGUUCUCUGCAAUUCGAGAACAUGAAGAUGGAAUCACUAGUAAUCGUAGAUCAGCAUGCUACGGUGAAUAUGUAAUUACGCUCUGUACUCACAGCCCGUCACACAAUGGAAGUAAAAUGUAUCGGAAAUUUGUCAAAUAUUGUUAGAUUUUCUUUUUUAAAUUUAUUGAAUAAAUUAUUUUAAUUAAUAUCUUUCAACUAAAUGGGAACUGAUGAUAUGUUUCAUGACUGUUGUGAAGUCGUAACAAGGUAGCGCUAGCGGAAGCUGGUGCUGGAUUUAUAUUUUU